AGCGGAGGAAAAGAAACUAACAAGGAUUCCCCUAGUAACUGCGAGUGAAGCGGGAAAAGCUCAAAUUUAAAAUCCUUCGGGAGUUGUAAUCUAGAGAAGCGUUUUCGGUCGUUGCCUCGGACAAGUCCCUUGGAACAGGGCGUCAUAGAGGGUGAGAAUCCCGUCCUUGCCGAGCUACCAACGUCUAUGUGAUGCGCUCUCGAAGAGUCGAGUUGUUUGGGAAUGCAGCUCAAAACGGGUGGUAAACUCCAUCUAAAGCUAAAUAUUGGCGAGAGACCGAUAGCGAACAAGUACCGUGAGGGAAAGAUGAAAAGCACUUUGGAAAGAGAGUUAAACAGUACGUGAAAUUGCUGAAAGGGAAGCGCUUGAAGUCAGUCGCGUGUAUGAGACUCAGCCUCACGGUGCAUUUCUCUUACACGGGUCAACAUCAGUUUCGACCGCGGGAAAAGGGCUUGAGGAAUGUGGCAGCCUCGGCUGUGUUAUAGCCUCUUGUCGUACACCGCGGUUGGGACUGAGGACCGCUUAUAGGAUGUUGACGUAAUGGCUUUAAGCGACCCGUCUUGAAACA
rnacentral:rRNA from 1 species